rnacentral:rRNA from 1 species
UGGCGAGUGGCGAACGGGUGAGUAAUAUAUCGGAACGUACCAAGUAGUGGAGGAUAACUGUCCGAAAGGAUGGCUAAUACUGCAUACGAUCUUAGGAUGAAAGUGGGGGACCUUUGGGGCCUCACGCUAUUGAGCGGCCGAUAACUGAUUAGCUAGUUGGUAGGGUAAGAGCCUACCAAGGCGACGAUCAGUAGCGGGUCUGAGAGGAUGAUCCGCCACAUUGGGACUGAGACACGGCCCAA